UACGUAGGUGGCAAGCGUUGUCCGGAUUUACUGGGCGUAAAGGGCGCGUAGGCGGCCUGUUAAGUCGGACGUGAAAUCCCUCGGCUCAACCGGGGAACUGCGUCUGAUACUGGCGGGCUUGAAUUCGGGAGAGGGAUGUGGAAUUCCAGGUGUAGCGGUGAAAUGCGUAGAUAUCUGGAGGAACACCGGUGGCGAAGGCGGCAUCCUGGACCGACAUUGACGCUGAGGCGCGAAAGCCAGGGGAGCAAACGGG
rnacentral:rRNA from 1 species